rnacentral:misc_RNA from 1 species
AAGUCGUAACAAGGUUUCCGUAGGUGAACCUGCGGAAGGAUCAUUAACGAGUUUUGAAAGGGUUUCGAUGCUGGCCUUCCGAGGCAUGUGCUCGCCCGCUCAAUCCACUCUACACCUGUGCACCUUCGAGGUUGUGGCUCUCCGGGGCCGCGCCUUGCUCUCACACAAACUCUUAUGAACGUAUGACAGAACGUAACAUCGAAUAGCAUAAUAUAACUUUCAACAACGGAUCUCUUGGCUCUC